GACGAACGCUGGCGGCGUGCCUAAUACAUGCAAGUAGAACGCACAGUUUAUACCGUAGCUUGCUACACCAUAGACUGUGAGUUGCGAACGGGUGAGUAACGCGUAGGUAACCUGCCUGGUAGCGGGGGAUAACUAUUGGAAACGAUAGCUAAUACCGCAUAAUAUUAAUUAUUGCAUGAUAAUUAAUUGAAAGGUGCAAUUGCACCACUACCAGAUGGACCUGCGUUGUAUUAGCUAGUAGGUGAGGUAACGGCUCACCUAGGCGACGAUACAUAGCCGACCUGAGAGGGUGAUCGGCCACACUGGGACUGAGACACGGCCCAGACUCCUACGGGAGGCAGCAGUAGGGAAUCUUCGGCAAUGGACGAAAGUCUGACCGAGCAACGCCGCGUGAGUGAAGAAGGGUUUCGGAUCGGAAAGCUCUGUUGUAAGAGAAGAACGGGUGUGAGAGUGGAAAGUUCACACUGUGACGGUAGCUUACCAGAAAGGGACGGCUAACUACGUG
rnacentral:rRNA from 1 species